rnacentral:rRNA from 1 species
GAAUUUUGGACAUUGGGCGAAAGCCUGAUCCAGCAAUGCCGCGUGCAGGAUGAAGGCCUUCGGGUUGUAAACUGCUUUUGUACGGAACGAAAAGCUUUGGGUUAAUACCCUGGAGUCAUGACGGUACCGUAAGAAAAAGCACCGGAUAACUACGUGCCAGCAGCCGCGGGUAAACGUAGGGUGCAAGGUUUAAUCGGUAUUACUGGGCGUAAUGCGUGCGCAGUCGGUUUGGUAAGACAGAGGUGAAAUCCCCGGGCGCAACCUGGGAACUUCCUUUGUGACUGCAAGGCUAGAGUACGGCAGAGGGGGGUGGAAUUCCGCGUGUAGCAGUGAAAGGCGUAGAUAUGCGGAGGAACACCGAUGGCGAAGGCAACCCCCUGGGCCUGUACUGACGCUCAUGCACGAAAGCGUGGGGAGCAAACA